rnacentral:rRNA from 1 species
CCUACGGGGGGCAGCAGUGGGGAAUAUUGCACAAUGGGGGAAACCCUGAUGCAGCAACGCCGCGUGAGUGAAGAAGGUUUUCGGAUUGUAAAGCUCUGUUAGCAGGGAAGAGAAUGACGGUAACUGACAAAGAAGCCCCGGCUAACUACGUGCCAGCAGCCGCGGUAAUACGUAGGGUGCAAGCGUUAUUCGGAAUUACUGGGUGUAAAGGGCGCGUAGGCGGGAGAGCAAGUCUGAUGUGAAAUCCUAUGGCUUAACCAUGGAACUGCAUUUGAAACUGUGCAGCUAGAGUGCAGGAGAGGUAAGUGGAAUUCCUAGUGUAGCGGUGAAAUGCGUAGAGAUUAGGAGGAACACCAGUGGCGAAGGCGACUUACUGGACUGUAACUGACGCUGAGGCGCGAGAGCGUGGGGAGCAAACAGGAUUAGAUACCCUAGUAGUC